ensembl:snRNA U6 U6 spliceosomal RNA
GUGCCCGCUUAGGCAGCACAUAUACUAUAAUUGGAAUGAUACAGAGAUUAGCAUGACCCCUGCACAAGGAUGACACACAAAUUUGUGAAGUGUUCCAUAUUUAA